GUAGUCUCGCACAGAUGCAUAUCAAUAAGCGGAGGAAAAGAAACUAACAAGGAUUCCCCUAGUAACGGCGAGUGAAGCGGGAAGAGCUCAAAUUUGAAAUCUUAAAGGGUUUCCCUUUACGAAUUGUAGUUUAAAGAAGUGUUUUCUGCUGAGGUUUUGGUAAAAGUUCUUUGGAAUAGGACAUCAUAGAUGGGUGAGAAUCCCGUAUUUGACCUUUACUUUCAACUUUGUGAUACACUUUCAAAGAGUCGGAUUGUUUGGGAAUGCAGUCCAAAAUGGGUGGUAAAUUUCAUCUAAAGCUAAAUAUUGGCGAGAGACCGAUAGCGAACAAGUACCGUGAGGGAAAGAUGAAAAGAACUUUGAAAAGAGAGUUAAACAGUACGUGAAAUUGUCAAAAGGGAAGCGUUUGACACCAGUGUUGUUUUUCUGAAAAUCAAUUAAAGAACUGUUUAUGCUAAGCUGUUUAGACUUUAUCAGCUAUCUGUUUAGUUUUGAGCUUUUCUUUAAUGCACUUUUCAGUUAACAAGUCAACAUCAAUUUCUUUUGCUGUAAAAAAGCUUGAGGAAGGUGGCUUGAGAUUCGUCUUAAGUGUUUAUAGCCUCUUGCCUAUGCAGUCGGAGAGAUUGAGGUCUGCAGCGUAGAUCCUUCGGGGCUAAAUGCAUUUGUGCUAAGUUAUAACAUUUUAUAGACAACUUGUUGACUAUGAUUUGUCUUGUAGCUUACUCGCUUAUGUUAUUUUACCUACGCUUAGGAUGUUGACGCAUGAGAUAUACGC
rnacentral:rRNA from 1 species